rnacentral:rRNA from 1 species
GAUGAACGCUGGCGGCGUGCCUAAUACAUGCAAGUCGAGCGAACAGACGAGGAGCUUGCUCCUCUGACGUUAGCGGCGGACGGGUGAGUAACACGUGGAUAACCUACCUAUAAGACUGGUAUAACUUCGGGAAACCGGAGCUAAUACCGGAUAAUAUAUUGAACCGCAUUGUUCAAUAGUGAAAGACGGUUUUGCUGUCACUUAUAGAUGGAUCCGCGCCGCAUUAGCUAGUUGGUAAGGUAACGGCUUACCAAGGCAACGAUGCGUAGCCGACCUGAGAGGGUGGUCGGCCACACUGGAACUGAGACACGGUCCAGACUCCUGCGGGAGGCAGCAGUAGGGAAUCUUCCGCAAUAGGCGAAAGCCUGACGGAGCAACGCCGCGUGAGUGAUGAAGGUCUUCGGAUCGUAAAACUCUGUUAUUAGGGAAGAACAAAUGUGUAAGUAACUAUGCACGUCUUGACGGUACCUAAUGAGAAAGCCACGGCUAACUACGUG